CCUUAUAAAACAAAUAUUUUGUACUGUAUUUAUUAUAGUUUAGUAAAGAAAGUUUACCAGCAAUAUAAUCAAACAUAAAAACAAAGCCCCGCAAACAUUUUUACUCCUGCUCAGUCUCAUCUCAAAGGGUUUUGGAAGGAAAAUGUUGACAAUUUCAAGCUUGAAUUACUUUAAAGCCUAAACAAAGGCAAGUACGCGGGCACUGAUAGUCAAAAUGUCCCCUAGGUAGCCAAUUAGUGCGCGUUCCGUCCCUCUCCUAACGAGCUGUCAAACUUUUUGUACGCGCACCCUUUGUUUGGCGCAAAACUGGCCAAUAAUGACGAUACUCGCGUAUAUUGACUGAGCCAUGUAAAAAUACUUUAAACCGACUUCUAAAAUAAGGUUAUAUAUUCAAACCGUUUAUGAUAUUGUGAAAAUUGAACUUGUAACGUUUUAUUAUAAGUUUUGUUAGAUUUGUGAAGAUGGUUUAUUCUUACAUGAUUGCGUAUUUGUCGGGCCCCGAUUUGAGACUUUUGUCAGCUUAUGUUAGGGUCUGAAAUUAGUCGGGCAAUCCAAAAAAGUAUGCGCAUGUAAAUCGCUGUAUCAUUCAAGAAUGCCAUGCUGGUCAGUACAUGUUGUUACACUUGUUUGUGAAAUCUAUAAUGAACAUAAAAUUAAUCAUGAAAUAAUGGAAUAACCUAAUUAAAAUUGAGUAAUUAUGAUUCACUAAGUACAUAGACAGGGAAAAUGUGUUUAUUUCCCUGUGUUUUGCCUCAACUAUGUUUACAUAUUACAUUUACCUACUCAACUCAAAUAGUUGUCUGUGCGCUGUGAGUCUGUGAACUAAGAUCUUGGACAUCAACAAUGAAAUUCCUGGCGUUAGUGUUCGCGAUGACAACCGUCCUCACCGUCCCCUGUCUGUCUGAACGCCUCAGUCUGUCUGCCUCUCCUGAUGAACUGUUGCUGUACUUGUACGACGUUGUUCUUACCUCACAUGUCAUGGACCUGACAAACGAUCAGGGAGCGGUUACCGAUUUGACAGGUAUGCCAUGCAGAACAGGCGAGGCGCGGCUUACGAGUGGGGGAGCCUGUGUCGCUACAACCCCGGAACCUGAUUCUCCGAUCUAUGAUUAUUAAUCUUAAAUGACUAACUUUGGUUUCUUGCACAGUCGGAUCAAUAGUAAUGGUAAAAAAGAGGGAGUUCUGUUUGUUUAAGUCACUUCGGCAAGUGCAUCCAGGCUAGUGUAAGUGUGGGUCUCCCACCACGUCUUAUUAUUUUGAUAAAUGGCGUAAAGCGACAUCUUUCUUUCACAUUCGCAAUAAUUUUGGACAUGGUGGUAGGCCCCGUUCUAAAUGUUAAGCCAUUAUAGGUUAGUGUUAUGUUAAUUUUUAUUUAAUGUAAUUUAUCAUUUAUUACAAGUAACAAGACUCAGAGUUAGUAACAAUUUAUUUACAAUCUAUGUUAGUUAAACCCUAAUUAAAACAUAACUUGUCAAACAUUGCUGUUAGACAAAUUUUGAGCGAUCCACGAAUAUUUGUUCUGAGUCUCAUGCGCAAAAAAUCAAGUCUCGUCAAUCGGGUGGGAAGCCCGAGUGACACAAGGAUAAUUUCAAAGUUAAGCUAAGCUUCAUAACAAGCUUACAUUGUAUAAUUAAUGUCACUCAAUUGUUAUAUGUACAUAUUUUAUACAGCCAAUCAUUGAAUUCCUUAAUAAAAAGCGCUAUAAUAACAUGAUCUGUCAGAAUAGUGGGAUUGUACAGUUACCAUUAUUUUUUAUGUAUUGACAAGAAAGUCUACUAUAUUGUUUGUUUCCUCAGUAAAGAUAAAAAAAAUGAUCAUAAUUGAACUUGUAAUUGCAUAAGAAUAAUAUAAACUAUUUAUGUUAUAA